AGCAUACGAGUAGUAAGUUGCCGUCUAUGGAAAAAGAGCAAAACAAAACAGCUGUUGGGGCUUAAAAUAGAAAAAGUUAGAGGGUAAAGGAGAUGACAUGUCAAGGGAUGCGACAGCAGUUAAAUAAGUGGAUGGUGAAAGGCAACAGUGGAGAAGAACACAGGCAAUGAGUGAAUGAGACAGACAUGAAGUCGGCCUUGGCAUCACGUAGAGAUGAGACCAGUGAUGACAUCAGAUCCUCUGAGGCAGCCAGCAUCUCAGCAUACAAUCAAUCCCUUUGACAAGUCUUCAGCCUCAAUCAGAUAACCUUUGCAGAAUCAAGAGUAAGGAUGAGAAGAAACAUGAAAAAUGAUGAGGACUACCAUCAGCUCUGAUUAUGCCUGAAGAGACUGGAUAAAGACUUUGGUCAGUGAACUGACUCAUAAAAUACAGGAAAAUGUGUACCUGCAGAAAUGUGUCAUCCAGUAUGAUAAGCUAAGCAACUGUGGGCUACUGGUGACCAUUUGUUUAAUUUGGACUUAAUCAGACUUGACUUUAAAGUAGAGGACAGAAGGCGAACCAGUGGAGCACCCGCACUGUCACUAUAGCAACAGAGCUGAUGGGCUGUCAUGGGAGGAGUGGGGGGGAAAAGGAACGUGAAGACAAAAGACAAGCACACAAACACACACACACACACACACACACACUGUCAUAGACACGACACACCUGGGUGACAUAACCAGUAGUGCAAUUCAAGCAAGAAAAAUAAUGGUAAUGACACAUUGAAGCAUUCACAUUAAACAUACUCUGCUUUUUAGAUGCUUUUUUUAAUUAGCAGUAUCUCUUUGGAGGCUGAAUCUGUAGCAGUGCCCUGGUCAGGGUCCAUCUUCAGCUCGCAGAACAUCAUUAGCUGACACAGAAGUAAUCCCUCCAGAUAACAAACACCUGGGAUCUGCUAUUCAACGGAUACAUUUGGAUGAAUUCCCAAAGAGAGUCAGGAGGAUUAUAUUAAAAGUGGGUGCAACAACAUAUUAUUUUGUGAAGGUGUCGACCUGCAAAGCAGCCCCUCUGUAGCUUUCGCAGAUUAAAUGAAGCCAGGAAGCGCAAUGAUUUUACACAGGAAAUGGAUGUUGCUCAUGAUAAGGAUAUGGUGACAGGAAAAUGCAGAAAUGAGUGGCAUCUAUUCACCAAUUUGUGUGUCAUACCUGGGUCAGAAAACUGAAAACUGCUUCAGUUCAGAUGAAACCCAAAUACAAUAAAAGAAAAAACAGCUGUUGCUACCAUGUUAUAUGUUGUGACAGGCUCUUGAUCAUAUUUCUAUAUAAAUAAUUUAAU